CCUACGGGAGGCAGCAGUGGGGAAUAUUGGACAAUGGGCGAAAGCCUGAUCCAGCAAUGCCGCGUGAGUGAUGAAGGCCUUAGGGUUGUAAAGCUCUUUUACCCGGGAAGAUAAUGACUGUACCGGGAGAAUAAGCCCCGGCUAACUCCGUGCCAGCAGCCGCGGUAAUACGGAGGGGGCUAGCGUUAUUCGGAAUUACUGGGCGUAAAGCGCACGUAGGCGGCUAUUCAAGUCAGAGGUGAAAGCCCGGAGCUCAACUCCGGAACUGCCUUUGAAACUAGAUAGCUAGAAUCACGGAGAGGUAAGUGGAAUUCCGAGUGUAGAGGUGAAAUUCGUAGAUAUUCGGAAGAACACCAGUGGCGAAGGCGGCUUACUGGACGUGUAUUGACGCUGAGGUGCGAAAGCGUGGGAGCAAACAGGAUUAGAUACCCUGGUAGUCCACGCCGUAAACGAUGAUAACUAGUUGUCGGGGCUCUUAGAGCUUCGGUGACGCAGCUAACGCAUUAAGUUAUCCGCCUGGGAGUACGGUCGCAAGNUUAAAACUCAAAUGAAUUGACCGGNUGAGAGNGCGAGACGACGACGAGGAGAG
rnacentral:rRNA from 1 species